GAUGAACGCUGGCGGCGUGCCUAAUACAUGCAAGUCGAGCGAACAGAUGAGGAUCUUGCUCCUCUUACGUUAGCGGCGGACGGGUGAGUAACACGUGGAUAACCUACCUAUAAGACUGGGAUAACUUCGGGAAACCUGAGCUAAUACCGGAUAAUAUAUUGAACCGCAUGGUUCAAUAGUGAAAGACGGUUUUGCUGUCACUUAUAGAUGUAUCCGCGCCGCAUUAGCUAGUUGGUAAGGUAACGGCUUACCAAGGCAACGAUGCGUAGCCGACCUGAGAGGGUGAUCGGCCACACUGGAACUGAGACACGGUCCAGACUCCUACGGGAGGCAGCAGUAGGGAAUCUUCCGCAAUGGGCGAAAGCCUGACGGAGCAACGCCGCGUGAGUGAUGAAGGUCUUCGGAUCGUAAAACUCUGUUAUUAGGGAAGAACAAAUGUGUAAGUAACUAUGCACGUCUUGACGGUACCUAAUCAGAAAGCCACGGCUAACUACGUG
rnacentral:rRNA from 1 species